CGGGAAAGGCAAGCGUUGUUCGGAAUUACUAAACGUAAAGAACGCGUAGACGGUUCGCUAAGUCGGAUGUGAAAACUCUGGGCUCAACCCAAAACCUGCAUCCGAAACUGACAAACUAGAGUUCUGAAGGGGGUAGCGGAAUUCCUGGUGUAGCGGUGAAAUGCGUAGAUAUCAAAAGGAACACCGAUGGCGAAGACGGCUACCUAGACAGAAACUGACGCUGAAACGCGAAAGCUAAAAAAGCAAACAAAAUUAGAUACCCUAAUAGUCCUAGCCCUAAACGAUGGAUACUUAGUGUGACUGGGAUUGAAUCCAGUCGUGCCGAAACUAACGCAUUAAGUAUCCCGCCUAAAGAGUACGGUCGCAAGGCUG
rnacentral:rRNA from 1 species